UGAGGCAGGAGAAUUGCUUGAACCCAGGAGGUGGAGGUUGCAGUGAGCCGAGAUCACGCCACUGCACUCCAGCCUAGGUGACAGAGUGAGACUCCAUCUC
rnacentral:miRNA from 1 species